AAGUCGUAACAAGGUUUCCGUAGGUGAACCUGCGGAAGGAUCAUUAACGAACGAGGAAUUCAAUUUACUUGAAUUUCUUGGGAUCAACCAAAACCUGUAUGAUGAUGUAAAUUGUGUAUAUCGAUUAAUACUCGUAUACGAAAAUAAUUUUAAUAAAAUACAAAACUUUCAACAACGGAUCUCUUGGCUCUU
rnacentral:misc_RNA from 1 species